rnacentral:antisense_RNA from 1 species
CUUCAACGAGCCCAGCCACAGCGGCCGUUCGGCAGGACGCUCCUGCCCGUAGGUGGCCUGGAGCGCCUGCACCUC